rnacentral:rRNA from 1 species
GACGAACGCUGGCGGCGUGCCUAAUACAUGCAAGUCGAACGGUCUUUUCUAUGGAAGCUUGCUUCCACUGAGAAGAUAGUGGCGAACGGGUGAGUAACACGUGGGUAACCUGCCCAUAGGAGGGGGAUAACAUCCGGAAACGGGUGCUAAUACCGCAUAGUUUUCUUGAUCGCAUGAUCGGGAAAGGAAAGACGGCCUUUGUGCUGUCGCUUAUGGAUGGACCCGCGGCGUAUUAGUUAGUUGGUGAGGUAACGGCUCACCAAGACGAUGAUACGUAGCCGACCUGAGAGGGUGAUCGGCCACAUUGGGACUGCGACACGGCCCAAACUCCUACGGGAGGCAGCAGUAGGGAAUCUUCCGCAAUGGACGAAAGUCUGACGGAGCAACGCCGCGUGAGUGAAGAAGGUUUUCGGAUCGUAAAACUCUGUUGUCAGAGAAGAACAAGUUGGAGAGUAACUGCUCCAGCCUUGACGGUAUCUGACCAGAAAGCCACGGCUAACUACGUGCCAGCAGCAGCCGUAAGAC